rnacentral:rRNA from 1 species
GAUGAACGCUGGCGGCGUGCCUAAUACAUGCAAGUCGAGCGAACGGACGAGAAGCUUGCUUCUCUGAUGUUAGCGGCGGACGGGUGAGUAACACGUGGAUAACCUACCUAUAAGACUGGGAUAACUUCGGGAAACCGGAGCUAAUACCGGAUAAUAUUUUGAACCGCAUGGUUCAAAAGUGAAAGACGGUCUUGCUGUCACUUAUAGAUGGAUCCGCGCUGCAUUAGCUAGUUGGUAAGUUAACGGCUUACCAAGGCAACGAUGCAUAGCCGACCUGGGAGGGUGAUCGGCCACACGGGAACUGAGACACGGUCCAGACUCCUACGGGAGGCAGAAGUAGGGAAUCUUCCGCAAUGGGCGAAAGCCUGACGGAGCAACGCCGCGUGAGUGAUGAAGGUCUUCGGAUCGUAAAACUCUGUUAUUAGGGAAGAACAUAUGUGUAAGUAACUGUGCACAUCUUGACGGUACCUAAUCAGAAAGCCACGGCUAACUACGUG